rnacentral:rRNA from 1 species
AAGUCGGAUAACGAGCGCAACCCUUACCCUUAUUUGCCAGCGAUUCGGUCGGGAACUAUAAGGGGACUGCCGGUGAUAAACCGGAGGAAGGUGAGGACGACGUCAAGUCAUCAUGGCCCUUACGAGUAGGGCUACACACGUGCUACAAUGGGGAAUACAGACGGACGCUAAGCCGCGAGGUGGUGCUAAUCCUAGAAAGUUUCUCGUAGUCCGGAUUGGAGUCUGCAACUCGACUCCAUGAAGUCGGAAUCGCUAGUAAUCGCGGAUCAGCAUGCCGCGGUGAAUACGUUCUCGGGUCUU